GCCCGUGUGGCUCAGUGGGUGAGCACUGGCCUAUGAGCCAGGAGGUCUUAGUUCGAUUCCUAGUCAGGGCA
rnacentral:tRNA from 1 species